rnacentral:tRNA from 1 species
GCCGGGAUAGCUCAGUUGGUAGAGCAGCGCAUUCGUAAUGCGAAGGUCGGGGGUUCGACUCCUCUUUCCGGCACCA